rnacentral:lncRNA from 10 species
CUCCCUCUUUCUCUUGUGUGCACCAUGUUGUGCCUGUUUCUGUUGUUUUUGACAUGUGCUUAAUCAACCAUCAGAGUAAUUCUCCACUGACUCUCUCCAGCCACUGGACUACAAAGAGAAUAUGUUAUUACAGAAAUCCAUUCCAACCAAGGGGAAUUUGAAGGAAGGAUACAGGAAUUUCGCUUAGAAUGCAAGAACACGAUAACCUGCUCUGCGUGAGGGCUACAUGUUCCCAGCUGGUUGAAGAUCCUUGCUGACAGACUGCACAGUGAUGGAUAGCCACACACCCCUGUACUGCCAAGAUGGCCUAUAUGCUCCACGCCAUCCUUUGGGAGGAAGCAAAGUAGCAUUGCCAUGUCAGAAAACCUCGAAGUCAAGAAUAAUUUGAAAUGCUGCAUCGUUUUUAAUCCUGAGAGACAGAAUAAGUAAUUGAUUCUUUCCAGCUCACAAAUUUGUAGAACUAUUCCGACUCAGUUUCAAUGGAAAUUAAUGCUAGACUUGAUUAAUAUGUGUUGCUUUUGAAUUAUGUACUAUAAAACUCCUAAGGACAAAACAACUUUUUAUGAAGAAUUUAUAAGUCAUCUGUCUAUAAUACAAGUCAGGUGUGUCAUUCUUUCAAUUACCAAGAUGUUCUCCCUUUACCAAACUUUAGUUAGGCUCCUCCGAGUUCUCUUUUUAAUUAGACUUCAACCUUUGGACUUUCAUGUUCAUCUGUACAUCACUCAGUUUUAGCAAGAAUCUUGUCAAGUUGGUUUAGUUAGAAUCCCACCCCUAUAACUGAUCAUCCUCAAUAUCUGAUCAAAUUUUUCAGUCCCCAUCACCCCUUAGGUGAUAUCUGAUUAACCUGGCCUGCCUUCAGCCAGGAAUUCUGUUAGGUCAGUUUAGCAAGAAUUCCACCCCCACUCCUCAAUCCCCGCCUUAUCUCUGAUGUUUCCAUCUUCUGGCCCCUCCUCUGCUUCUUAGUUAUAAAUCCUCACUUGUCCACGCUGUAUUCAGAAUUGAGCCUAGUUCCAUACUGAGGUAUUUUCCCCCUAUUGAAAUAGGUCCUGAAUACAAUAUAUUGUAACUGCUUUAAAUACUGUCUGCUUCUGGAUUUCUUUGUUGAAAUAAAACCAAAUUGUCCAGGUAAAACUUCAGUUUGUUUCUAAGCUGACUUCUGGAAAAAUUGAGCUUUACAAACACAUGCCAAGGCUCCUAUUUGAGUUUUCAAGUCAGAUAAAGAAAUCAAAAUUUAAUGUCUCCCAGAAAAGUGAAAAGUAUGAGAGAAAAUCCCUGAACAAAUCGAGCCCUUUUAUGUGAACAAAAGAUGUGACUAGAAGAGUCUGGCACAUAAGUAUGCAUAUAAUUAAAAAGAAAAAAGAACUUUCACAAAGCACUUACAUUGGCAACAUAAGCACACAUGUUUUUGAUUGAAUUGACAAGUUAUUAUUCUUUGGUUCCAACAUAUUAAUUAAAAAAUACAACUUGAGAUUGCAAAAAAAGAAAAUCAAGAAGAUAAAAUGAGAAAAAGAUCCAGUGGCUCAAAACUCUCCUUUAUUUAUAAGCCAGAAACCUGAAAAUUGUCUUUGAAUUUUUCUCUGUCAAAUCUCUAAUUAAUUAUUGACCCUUGCCAAUUUUCCCAUCUGAAUCUCUCUUGAAUUCAUAUACAUUGUUCCCACUUUUAGUAGUAAUACUCUGAUCUAGACUAUAAUAAUUUUUUACCUGUUUUGCACCAUGGCACAAAUAACUUCUCUCCUUUACUCCAAAUUGCAGUUUACUUCCCACACCAAAAGGAGACUAAUAUUCUUAAAAUCAUAUAUUCAUCCUUUUAAGAUGAAUGACAUUCAAAAAUGUCGGUCCCCCCAUAAGAGUGAGAAAAAGUUGGAUAAAUGUCAAGUUAUAGCUUUUAUGAGUCAUCCAAAGAACUGAGGUCAUAAGGCAACUGAGUAUUCUGAACUUUAGGAAAUGACAGAACCCUCAAAGAAGAGCUGGGACAAUGAGCAAAGCCAACACACAAGAGGGUAAAAAGAAAUUGAACAAUUUUCUAAACAUCAAAUGUGGAUAGCUUGUCAGUCUAGAAUAUCCUGAAGCCCCUGAUACAAGGGGAGUGAGUAACCUUUUGCAAGAUAUUUUCCUUGGACUUCCGCUAGGUGCUCCUACAAAAGUUUAGAAAUCCUGACGAAGGCCAGAGAGAGCCAUACUGGUGGUGAAGACGUGUAGGAGAAAGAGCAGCAGGCAAGCAAGACAUGAAUGACGACAACAAAUACUAUGCAGUUCCAGAGAACCUUCUUUCUUUUGAUACAAUAGUUUAAACUUCUGGGGAAGUAGCAGCAGACCUAAUGCUCUCUUCUUCCACUAUCUAAAUUGAUUUUCCCUUCAUGAUAGACUUCUUUCAAUAACUUGCAUUUCCCAUGAUUUCUCUCUUAAGGCUUCUGCAUACACCAUUUCCUCUGCCUAGGAAAUUGCUAUCUACUUCUGUGUAAUUUGUCUUCUAAUCUUUCAAACGUAUAUUUAAUUUUGAUGCUACUUUCCAUUAAUAAGUCCUCAUUGCCUCACUCAACUUAUUUGUACCUCAAGGUUUAAGCAUGUGUCUUAGAUACUUCAUCUAUUAUUUUAUACACUUUUUGUAAUAUUUACUGUUACUGAUUGUUUCUUCUAGACUGUAAGUUUCCUGAGAACAUAAACUACCUCCAUCUUGCACAAAUUUGUAUGCCCAGUACAAAGCACAGAAGAUUUAAAUUGCUGUUUAAAAGUUAUUAAACAGAAAAAUUGUUUACUACUAUUGAUGAAUAAAAAGUGCACAGAUUUUCUUAGAAAAAACUGUAUGCAUAUACUUCCAUGAAAAAUACUUUGUUGAACCUUAGGUCUAGCCAUAAUGAUCUCACAUUCUACACCAUUUCUAGGCAUUUGCACCUUCCUAAUAAAUACUCUUUCUAAUGACUGCAUUCUGUACUAAAUUCUAUUUUUUUAAUAAAUGGCCCAGUGAUAACUCCUCUGAAGUUAUCAAUUGCCAUCAAAAUACCAUACAAACAUAAAACCUGGUAUUUACAUUGAUAACCUUGCUUCUCAUUAAGAUUUUUUAUUUGCAAUAAUAGCUUACAUUGGAGAAUAUUAUCCAGUGGAAGAGGAUACAUAUUUGAUUAUCUCCGUAACAAGAAACAGAAAUUAUAGAACUAAUGCCAGGCAUUAAAAAUUCGUAAGAGAAAUUAUACUAUCAUCUUGAGGAAGCAGCAAAGUUUCAUGAUAGUUUUAAUACACUAAGUAUUUUGUCUGUAAAAUAAAAUUGAAUAUUUUUACAAGAGCAUUCUCAAAUAGCACAUGCAUAGCCCACCUUAAUUGCUUUUUAAAGGCAUAUCAGAUCCUUGGGA